AUUGAACGCUGGCGGCAUGCCUUACACAUGCAAGUCGAACGGUAACGCGGGGCAACCUGGCGACGAGUGGCGAACGGGUGAGUAAUGUAUCGGAACGUGCCCAGUUGUGGGGGAUAACUGCUCGAAAGAGCAGCUAAUACCGCAUACGACCUGAGGGUGAAAGCGGGGGAUCGCAAGACCUCGCGCAAUUGGAGCGGCCGAUAUCAGAUUAGGUAGUUGGUGAGGUAAAGGCUCACCAAGCCGACGACCUGGAGCUGGUCUGAGAGGACGACCAGCCACACUGGGACUGAGACACGGCCCAGACUCCUACGGGAGGCAGCAGUGGGGAAUUUUGGACAAUGGACGCAAGGCUGAUGCAGCCAUGCCGCGGGCGGGAAGAAGGCCUUCGGGUUGUAAACCGCUUUUGUCAGGGAAGAAACGCUCUGGGUUAAUACCUCGGGGUAAUGACGGUACCUGAAGAAUAAGCACCGGCUAACUACGUGCCAGCCGCCGCCGUAAAAC
rnacentral:rRNA from 1 species